rnacentral:hammerhead_ribozyme from 1 species
ACACUGCUGAGGAGUCCCAUAAUAGGACGAAACCGUGGUUCAGUAC